rnacentral:rRNA from 1 species
UACAGAGGGGGCAAGCGUUGUUCGGAAUUACUGGGCGUAAAGGGCGCGUAGGCGGCCUUCUAAGUCGAACGUGAAAUCCCCGGGCUCAACCCGGGAACUGCGUCGGAUACUGGAUGGCUUGAAUUCGGGAGAGGGAUGCAGAAUUCCAGGUGUAGCGGUGAAAUGCGUAGAUAUCUGGAGGAAUACCGGUGGCGAAGGCGGCAUCCUGGACCGACAUUGACGCUGAGGAGCGAAAGCUAGGGGAGCAAACGGG